UACGUAGGGGGCGAGCGUUGUCCGGAGUUACUGGGCGUAAAGCGUGCGCAGGCGGUUCUAUAAGACAGAUGUGAAAUCCCCGGGCUCAACCUGGGAACUGCAUUUGUGACUGUAGAGCUGGAGUACGGCAGAGGGGGAUGGAAUUCCGCGUGUAGCAGUGAAAUGCGUAGAUAUGCGGAGGAACACCGAUGGCGAAGGCAAUCCCCUGGGCCUGUACUGACGCUCAUGCACGAAAGCGUGGGGAGCAAACAGG
rnacentral:rRNA from 1 species